rnacentral:tRNA from 1 species
GGCGACUUAGCUCAGUUGGUAGAGCAGCGGAUUGAAAAUCCGCGUGUCCCCAGUUCAACUCUGGGAGUCGCCACCA